CUGGGUCGUAAAUAAAACUUCUUUUUAAAAAGCGGCUCCCCCUCUCUUGUAAGCCGGAAUGGUUCAGUCCAUUCUCUCCCCACCCCCUUUGUCUUUUUGAGACCGGCCCACGACGCCUCGCUGCCCUCCGCCCUUCUCCCGCAGAGCUCCGACCUUUGGUUGUCGCGCCCGCCUCCUCCUAGUUUGUACCCGACCGGUUCUUACUGCGCCUGCGCUGUUGGAACGCAGCCGGCGGGCGGGGAGGCAGGCAGGGGGACCGGAAGAAAGGGGCCCCUUCCGGUCUGGCGGCAGCUUCCGGUCGCCGGGACAAGAUGGCGGCGGCCUGGCGGUGGUUGGGCCUGCUCUCGGCCCUGAGCCUGCUGGCGGUGGUGGCAAAGGCCGCCGAGGAGGAGCCAGCGGCGGCCUCGGCCAAGGGGAGCCCCGCCAAGGACGCCCCCAAGAAGAAGAAGAAGAAAGACAUCCGGGACUACAACGACGCGGACAUGGCGAGGCUGCUGGAGCAGUGGGAGAAAGAUGAUGAUAUAGAGGAAGGCGAUCUUCCAGAGCACAAGCGCCCAUCUGCGCCCAUCGAUUUCUCCAAAAUCGACCCAAGCAAGCCUGAGAGCAUCUUACAGAUGACGAAGAAGGGGAAAACUCUGAUGAUGUUUGUCACUGUGUCGGGAGAACCAACCGAAAAGGAGACAGAAGAGAUCACCAACUUGUGGCAGGGAAGCCUUUUCAAUGCCAACUAUGAUGUCCAGAGGUUUAUUGUUGGCUCGAACCGUGCCAUCUUUAUGUUGCGUGACGGCAGCUACGCCUGGGAGAUCAAAGACUUUCUGAUAAAUCAAGAGAGGUGUGCAGAUGUAACGGUGGAAGGCCAGAUGUAUCCUGGGAAAGGGGCCAAGGAAAAAGAAAAAGAUAAAAAUAAGACAAAGCCUGAAAAAUCAAAGAAGAAAAAGGAAACAGACAAGAAACCUGAAACCGUGAAAGAAAAUCGUGCCAGCAAAGUGAAAGAAGAUCUAUGAUGUACUCUGUAAGGAAAAAAGUGAGUGGGCAGGUGGCAGGUUUCAGAAACAGGAACAGCCUUCUGAGUUUGAAAGUUGUGAUGACCAAGGGAACAGUUUACACAAUUAAUAAGAAGCAUUUCUUUAGUAACAAUGAAGUUAAUGGUUAACAUCUGUAGAAUGCCUGUUAGGUUGUGCUUUGCUUGAUUUGAUCUGGUUUUAAGUCUAAAACAGGCACCUGCUGUGUUGAACUUCAGUAUUAUGGACUUUGCUCAUUCAGAGGGGAAGAAAAACGUUUUUCCAUUGAAGGUACCGUUACAGCUGUUUUGGGGGGUCAUCCGUCAAGAUGGUCCAUGGACCAGCUGCGAAGCAGUAAGCCCUUUCUUUCUAGCCGUUUCUCAUUGUCCGAUGUUAUGUUGAAUGAAGUAAGCAAUGCAUUUGAGGAGUUCUAUGCUCUCGAAGCCAGACCACCUUGGAAUGAUGGUACUGAAGCAGACAGUACCGGAAUGGAUUUCUUGAAGCAGAAUUUUGAGACAAAAAAAGGAGCUUUGUCUGUUCAAUGGUUGAAAAUGACCUGCUCUCUUUUCUAAAGGGGAAACAGUUAUUUCCACCGAAUUAACAUAGUUAGAGCUUCUACAGGCUGGCGGUCCAGGUCUCUUACCCUGUUAUUCUUGCAUGAGGUGUUUGAAUGAAAUGGAACAAGGAGCUUGAUGUAAACGGAAUAGUGAAAGAUACAAUUUUCUCAGAAACCAAUAGCAAGUAUGUGUAAAGUCUUAUUUCCUAAGAUAGACACUCUUCUUGCUGUCACAGCUAUUUGAGUGCCUAGCUUAGAGUUUGAGUCACUUCCUCCAAGUUUGUUAACCCCUAUCAAUAUAGCCUUAGAUCAGUUGCCUGGUUCAUGUUAGUGAUCACAGCGUUGCGUGAGGCUACACAUGAUUUUCAGUGUAACUUGAAUUCUUACAGUGCCAAAACCUUGAUGUCUGAUUUGAGACAGUGAAGACUAGUUUGAUUGUGUUUUGGUUUUUUGAAAGGAUUCCUUUGUUCUGUUGGUACUGUUGUUCUGUUGAAUUUUCUCCCCAGAAUGUCAAUAAAUUUGUACACUUUUUCAAAACA